rnacentral:rRNA from 1 species
UGGGGAAUUUUGGACAAUGGGCGAAAGCCUGAUCCAGCAAUGCCGUGUGUGUGAAGAAGGCCUUCGGGUUGUAAAGCACUUUUGUCCGGAAAGAAAUCCUUGGCUCUAAUACAGUCGGGGGAUGACGGUACCGGAAGAAUAAGCACCGGCUAACUACGUGCCAGCAGCCGCGGUAAUACGUAGGGUGCAAGCGUUAAUCGGAAUUACUGGGCGUAAAGCGUGCGCAGGCGGUUUGCUAAGACCGAUGUGAAAUCCCCGGGCUCAACCUGGGAACUGCAUUGGUGACUGGCAGGCUAGAGUAUGGCAGAGGGGGUAGAAUUCCACGUGUAGCAGUGAAAUGCGUAGAGAUGUGGAGGAAUACCGAUGGCGAAGGCAGCCCCCUGGCCAAGUACUGACGCUCAUGCACGAAAGCGUGGGGGAGCAAACAGGAUUAGAUACCCCUGGUAGUCCACGCCCCUAAACGAUGUCAACUAGUUGUUGGGGAUUCAUUUCCUUAGUAACGUAGCUAACGCGUGAAGUUGACCGCCUGGGGAGUACGGUCGCAAGAUUAAAACUCAAAUGAAUUGAC